GAUGAAGACGCAGCGAAAUGCGAUAAGUAAUGUGAAUUGCAGAAUUCAGUGAAUCAUCGAAUCUUUGAACGCACAUUGCGCCCUCUGGUAUUCCGGGGGGCAUGCCUGUUCGAGCGUCAUUAUAACCACUCAAGCUCUCGCUUGGUAUUGGGGUUCGCGGUUUCGCGGCCCCUAAAAUCAGUGGCGGUGCCUGUCGGCUCUACGCGUAGUAAUACUUCUCGCGAUUGAGUUCGAUAGGUCUACUUGCCAGUAACCCCCAAUUUUUACAGGUUGACCUCGGAUCAGGUAGGGAUACCCGCUGAACUUAAGCAUAUCAAUAAGCGGAGGA
rnacentral:misc_RNA from 1 species